UCACGCCCUAAACUAUGUCAACUGGUUGUCGGGGAAGCAAUUCCUUGGUAACGAAGCUAACGCGUGAAGUUGACCGCCUGGGGAGUACGGCCGCAAGGCUGAAACUCAAAGGAAUUGACGGGGGCCCGCACAAGCGGUGGAGCAUGUGGUUUAAUUCGAAGCAACGCGAAGAACCUUACCAGGUCUUGACAUCCCGCUGCCCGGUGUAGAGAUACGCCUUUCCCUUCGGGGACAGCGGUGACAGGUGGUGCAUGGUUGUCGUCAGCUCGUGUCGUGAGAUGUUGGGUUAAGUCCCGCAACGAGCGCAACCCUUGAUCUUAGUUGCCAGCAUUCAGUUGGGCACUCUAAGGUGACUGCCGGUGACAAACCGGAGGAAGGUGGGGAUGACGUCGUAUCUCAC
rnacentral:misc_RNA from 1 species